GUGAUCCGGGAACCGAGGAAAUAAAAGCCGACGCGGCUUCCGUUUCUCCUCCCUCCGCUUGCCAAGGUCCCGGCUGUUGGGUUUCUUUAAUGACGUUGUGAAGUGAAUAGUGCGGAUUUUCCGGCAUCGGCGGCAGCUGCAGAGACUGGGGCCGGGAGCCGAGGAUGUGGGGGCGCGGCAGCAGACAGCGUGUAGUGGUGGCGGUGGCGUAGUGAUGAGAACAACGAACAAUUCCCCAAAAGGAAGAGGACCUUGUUAUCGCCUGAAAUCCAAAAUCGGGUAGAAUCUCUAACAUUCAGAGUAGGAGAAAAGGGUACUUUCUCCUUGCAGAGCAACUGGAGGGCUUAGCUGGUGCUUUGGAAGCUGAUCUUCCCGACCCCGAGAGCGAGAUUCUAAGAAUCCUUUGUACCGUGGCUCCUCUGCUUCCUUUGAAAUUGACGCUGUAUACAACCUCGCACUGCUUAAUGCCUGAAAUCGCAACUUCGGCGGGGAAGCUGUGGGAGCCAUGGAAGCCGUGUUCCGGCAGCUUCAGACCUAAUCAGUUGGAAAAAUAUCAUGUGUUCCUGGGUAGGCCAAGCGAAUAGAAUAAAAAUGACAAUACUACCUAAA